GACAGAGGGUGCAAACGUUGCUCGGAAUCACUGGGCGUAAAGGGCGUGUAGGCGGGAAGGAAAGUCAGAUGUGAAAUCCCUGGGCUCAACCCAGGAAUUGCAUUUGAAACUCCCUUUCUUGAGUACCGGAGAGGAAGGUGGAAUUCCUGGUGUAGAGGUGAAAUUCGUAGAUAUCAGGAGGAACACCAGUGGCGAAGGCGGCCUUCUGGACGGUAACUGACGCUGAGACGCGAAAGCGUGGGGAGCAAAC
rnacentral:rRNA from 1 species